AGUAAGUGCAAUCAUGUAAUUAGAAUUAAUGUGCCUUAGGAUAACUUAGUUAUUUAUGAUGGAUAUGAGAAUAUUAAGUCAUGAUUAGCCUUUGCAUCCGAUGUGAAUGGUCCCAAUUGAACCUUCUUUACAAGUCUUGUUCUUUCCAGCUAAUAAAUGUUGUUUUUCUCUUGGGAAGUUCAUUAUGACGAGUAUUUGGAGUCAAUGUGAUCUCAAACUCCGUUUGUUACUGUUGGUUAAGCUUCUAUUGUGUAAUCUUAGUUGCUCUAUUCUUGAAAAAUCUGCACUGAGCAUGUACAAUGGAUGAUUUGCAGGAGAGGUUGAAGAAAUAGCAGGAGGAAAAAGAACACAAAAAGAAAGAAAGCCCAUCUUUAUACUAUUAUAAAGGUUCUUUGUUAACUUAUUGUUUGUCCUUAU
rnacentral:lncRNA from 1 species